rnacentral:rRNA from 1 species
AUUGAACGCUGGCGGCAGGCCUAACACAUGCAAGUCGAACGAGUGGGGACGGGUGAGUAACACGUGGGUAACCUCCCAUCAGAGGGGACAACACUUGGAAACAGGUGCUAAACCGAUACUGCUGGAUGGAACCGCGGUGCAUUGGCUGGUUGGUGAGGUAACGGCUCACAAGGGCCACGAUGCAUAGCCGACCUGAAGGGGGGAUCGGCCAAACUGGGACUGGGCAAGGGCCCAGAUUCUUACGGGAGGCAGCAUUGGGGAAUCUUCGGAAAUGGACGAAAGUCUGACCGAGAAACGCCGCGUGAGUGAAGAGGGGUUUCGGUUCGUAAAACUCGGUUGUUAGAGAAGCGGUAUCUAACCAGAAAGCCACGGCUAACUACGUGCCAGCAGCCGCGGUAAUAC